rnacentral:lncRNA from 1 species
UUUUUUUUUUUUUUUUUCUUUUGAGAUGGAGUUUCACUCUUGUUGCCCAGGCUGGAGUGCAGUGGUGCGAUCUCGGCUCACUGAAACCUCUGCCUUCCGGCUUCUGGUUUCAAGUGAUUCUUCUGCUUCAGCCUCCCAAGUAGCUGGGAUUACAGGAACCCUCCACCCCGCCUGGCUAAUUUUUUUUGUAUUUUAGUAGAGAUGGGGUUUCACUAUGUUGGCCAGGCUGGCCUCGAACUCCUGACCUUGUGAUCCGCCCGCCUCGGCCUCCCAAAGUGCUGGGAUUACAGAAGUGAGCCACCACGCCUGGCCAGUUUCUUUUGGAUAGUACUGACUGGAAACGGGCCUGAGGGAGCCUCUGGGUUGCUGGAAAUGUUCUAUAUUUUGAUGUGGCUGGGGAUUUCACAUGUGUGAAAUGUUUCCACUUCACACGGAAACAUUCAUUCAGCCAUACGCUUAAGAUUAGUGCACUUUACUGUGUGUUAUACCUCAAUAAAGACAUUUUAAAAAGCUAAAUGUAUUAAAGUAUUAAUUAGUUUCAAAACUUACUGGUUAAAGAAGAGGUCUGACAUAUUUCAGAAAACAUAAGGAUGGAUUUAAACAUUAAAAAAAUAAAUUAAAGGCAAGGAACUUCAAUAAAAGCAGUAGACUGGGAUUUUUAAAGCCCUGGAGUAGAAAAUGAAGAUAUCAGGUGGAGUUAGAAAAUAGAUGAAAUUCACCAAAAACCCAGCAAUAAUGUUAGGGAAAAACAAGCAGUGAGACUGUCGACCAGAACUUGAGGCGGUAUCGCUGGUGGGCCCUGACUGGGAGGUGAAGAGACUAGAUUUCGACUUGAAAGUCAACUAGAAGCUAAUCAUUUUUGAGCUGGGCGUCAGGCAUGAUGGUGGUGACAGUAAUGACACAUGUAACAGCUCUUAGCAUUCACUGAACACCUGCUACAGGCCGGAUCUUCUUGUCAGCACUUCAUCACUGCCGUCUCAUUUAAGCCUCAUAACCGCUCUGUGAGGACUGCUACGAUUACCCCAAUUUUACAGAGGGAGAAAUUGAAGAAGCAACUUCUAAGUCAGGGAGAACAGACCAAGAGGGAGGUUGUUAGGAAAUCCCUUGAGUUAAAUGAAUUUAAAUGACUUCACAGAUAUUUAAACAAAUCUAAGGCACAGGCAAAUUACUUAUGCGAUGUAAAUUCUGCAGAAUAAUCCAGCUCAUCGUACACCCAGCAGUACCCUGGCUAGAAUUCUAGGGAGAAGACCAGCACCUCUUAUGUGCUUUCAGGUGUAUAAACUACAUACAAUACAAAACUAAAUUUAAAG